UACGUAGGGUGCAAGCGUUGUCCGGAAUUAUUGGGCGUAAAGAGCUCGUAGGCGGUCUGUCGCGUCCGGUGUGAAAAUCCAGGGCUCAACCCUGGACCUGCAUCGGGUACGGGCAGACUAGAGUGCGGUAGGGGAGAUUGGAAUUCCUGGUGUAGCGGUGGAAUGCGCAGAUAUCAGGAGGAACACCGGUGGCGAAGGCGGGUCUCUGGGCCGAUACUGACGCUGAGGAGCGAAAGCGUGGGGAGCGAACAGG
rnacentral:rRNA from 1 species